AUUUGGCUGACGAGUUCCAAAUAGGAUGAAACGCCCAUCCUAGAU
rnacentral:hammerhead_ribozyme from 1 species